CGGGGAGGGAGGGAAGGGGGGCCUUGAAACCGCUUCUCCAAAUUCCCACCCCCCCUCCGAUCAUUCAGCCGGGGGGGGGUGAGGGAAGCGCCUGGAAACUUCUCCUAGCCCCCACCCCCUACACUCCGGUCCAUAAGUGGUUUUAUAGGAAUGGCCCUGGGCCAAAGUGUUUACAUGAAGAUUCACCAAGAGGAACUUGAAAGGGGUGUGUAUGCGUAAUGUACCUUUUCCAACCCUGAUCUGUCUAUAUGGGCAUUCUCAAGCCUCUCUGCCAAGCUUUACCUGGAGUUUAUGGAAGUGCGGAAGAGGAGCACACACAGCAAAGUUGGAUUUUUUGAACAGCAUGCCAGAGAAUCUGCCCAGCCAAGCACUGCCUUUUCCUCCAGGGUGGACGAGACAACUCAACAGCCCCACAGACCAGUAAAAAUAAUAUUUUUGGGGGGUGGUGGUGGAGAGGUUCCCCCACCGAGGAAGAGAGAAGCGCUCCGUUUGGAUCUAAUUUUUGAGAGGUUGCGGGUGAAAGGGAAGAAUCUGGGAGCCACACAGUCCUGCUGAAGAAUGCCAAAGAAGAGGAAUUGAAAGGGGGGAUUCUUUAGAGGCGCAGCCGUGCCCGUCGGGCCCCCCUGGCGCUACGAGGAAGCGCAUGGCGCUGGGGCCGCUGCUGCUGUUGCGGGGCCACCGCUCCCUACCCGGCCUCUGAGCCCCGGGGGAGGCCGAGGAGGAGGAGGGCAAGGCGACCUGGCUGCGGAUGAUGGAUGGAAGAGACCUUGGGGCCCCCCGCGCCGUCCACGUCCCCCCACCGCUCCUCUCCAGCCUGGCCAUGGAGAGCCAGCACCGGGUGGCCGCCGCCGGAGCAGCCGCCGCCCGCCUGGCUGCCAGCCUGCCACCCGCGCCCCUGGCCCCUGGCAAGUACCUUGCCUCCAGCAUCAACCUCCAUGCCCAC